AUGUGCGCUACACGGUUGCAUGUGCCAGUGAGGAUGAAAUAUGUCCGUGGAUUGUGCGUGCAAGACCAUGGAAAAGGAGGUCCAACUUGGCAUGUAGUGAGUUGUGUGCCAACUCACAUGUGCCAAGGCAAAAGGGUGGAUGGCAAGAUCGUGUCCCAAGACCACAAACAACUCACGUCCGAGUUCAUCGCUUACAGGCUCUCCAACUCAAUAUCCACACUUCCAACAAUGAGCGUUCAACAUGUCAUUGAUCUUGUGAAAGCCAUCUUUCAUUACAAGGUGAAGUACGGCAAGGCAUGGAAGGCGAAGCAAGCCGCAUUUAAGAUGUUGUAUGGUACUUGGGAGGAAGCAUACAACUGA
rnacentral:rRNA from 1 species